GGCCUUGACAUACUAAGAACUUUCCAGAGAUGGAUUGGUGCCUUCGGGAACUUAGAUACAGGUGCUGCAUGGCUGUCGUCAGCUCGUGUCGUGAGAUGUUGGGUUAACGUCCGCAACGAGCGCAACCUUUCCUUAUUUGCCAGCGGGUAAUGCCGGGAACUUUAAGGAUACUGCCAGUGACAAACUGGAGGAAGGCGGGGACGACGUCAAGUCAUCAUGGCCCUUACGGCCAGGGCUACACACGUGCUACAAUGGUCGGUACAAAGGGUUGCUACCUCGCGAGAGGAUGCUAAUCUCAAAAAGCCGAUCGUAGUCCGGAUCGCAGUCUGCAACUCGACUGCGUGAAGUCGGAAUCGCUAGUAAUCGCGGAUCAGAAUGCCGCGGUGAAUACGUUCCCGGGCCUUGUACACACCGCCCGUCACACCAUGGGAGUUUGUUGCACCAGAAGUAGGUAGUCUAACCGCAAGGAGGACGCUUACCACGGUGUGGCCGAUGACUGGGGUGAAGUCGUAACAAGGUAAGCGUAGAUGA
rnacentral:rRNA from 1 species